GUAUUGGGUGGAAAGUGGCGGACGGGUGCGUAACACGUUGGUGACCUGCCCCGAGGUGGGGGAUAACCGUGGGAAACCACGGCUAAUACCCCGGAUGCCAAAGUAUUUAGAAAGCUUUGGCUAAAGCUCCGGCGCCUCGGGAGGGGCCUGCGGGCUAUCAGCUUGUUGGUGGGGUAAUGGCCUACCAAGGCAAAGACGGCUAGGGGGCGUGAGAGCGCGACCCCCCACAAUGGAACUGAGACACGGUCCAUACUCCUACGGGAGGCAGCAGUGAGGAAUAUUGCGCAAUGGGGGCAACCCUGACGCAGCAACGCCGCGUGGAUGAUGAAGGCCUUCGGGUUGUAAAAUCCUUUUCCGGGGGAAGAAUCAUGACGGUACCUCGGGAAUAAGUCCCGGCUAACUACGUGCCAGCAGCCGCGGUAAAACGUAGGGGGCGAGCGUUAUCCGGAUUUACUGGGCGUAAAGCGCACGUAGGCGGCGCUGUAAGUUGGGCGUGAAAGCUCCCGGCUCAACUGGGAGAGGUCGUUCAAAACUGCAGUGCUUGAGGUUGGAAGAGGAGAGUGGAAUUCCCGGUGUAGUGGUGGAAUGCGUAGAUAUCGGGAGGAACACCAGUGGCGAAGGCGGCUCUCUGGUCCAAGCCUGACGCUGAGGUGCGAAAGCGUGGGGAGCGAACGGGAUUAGAUACCCCGGUAGUCCACGCUGUAGACGAUGGAUACUAGGUGUGUCGAGGUUACUUACCCCUUCCGUGCAGUAGCUUACGUGAUAAGUAUCCCGCCUGGGGACUACGGCCGCAAGGUUUAAACUCAAAGGAAUUGACGGGGGCCCGCACAAGCAGCGGAGCGUGUGGUUUAAUUCGAUGAUACGCGAAGAACCUUACCUGGGCUUGACAUGUUGGUAGUAGUGAAGCGAAAGCGGAUCGACCCUUCGGGGAGCCAUCACAGGUGCUGCAUGGCUGUCGUCAGCUCGUGUCGUGAGAUGUUGGGUUAAGUCCCGCAACGAGCGCAACCCUUGUCGUUAGUUACAUGUGUCUAGCGAGACUGCCGGUACCAAACCGGAGGAAGGUGGGGAUGACGUCAAGUCAGCAUGGUCUUUAUGUCCAGGGCUACACACACGCUACAAUGGCCGGUACAAUAGGUUGCCACACCGCGAGGUGGAGCUA
rnacentral:rRNA from 1 species